rnacentral:rRNA from 1 species
GCCAGCAGCAUACCACCCUGCAUCCCACUGCUGGCUUGCUUCUGAAGCUAAGCAGGGUUGGUCCUGAAUGGGAGACCAGAUGCUGCUGGAA